rnacentral:rRNA from 1 species
UACGUAGGGUGCAAGCGUUAAUCGGAAUUACUGGGCGUAAAGCGUGCGCAGGCGGUGAUGUAAGACAGAUGUGAAAUCCCCGGGCUUAACCUGGGAACUGCAUUUGUGACUGCAAGGCUGGAGUACGGUAGAGGGGGAUGGAAUUCCGCGUGUAGCAGUGAAAUGCGUAGAGAUGUGGAGGAACACCGAUGGCGAAGGCAGCCCCCUGGGCUAACACUGACGCUCAUGCACGAAAGCGUGGGGAGCAAACAGG